AUGAGAAGUGGGGGCUGGACCCUGGGCCUUGUGAGCAGCUGCGGGGUGCCUGGGUCAGGCAUAUCAGGAGGGUUUGUGUGCAGGGCUAUAUCACAGUGUAAUGUGUUCGGCGGUGGCACCACGCUGACUGUCCUCGGUCAGCCCAAGGCCGCCCCCUCGGUCACUGUGUUCCCGCCCUCCUCUGAGGAGCUCCAAGCCAACAAGGCCACACUGGUGUGCCUCAUAAGUGACUUCUACCCGGGAGCCGUGACAGUGGCCUGGAAGGCAGAUGGCAACACCGUCACGGAUGGAGUGGAGACCACCAAACCCUCCAAACAGAGCAACAACAAGUACGCGGCCAGCAGCUACCUGAGCCUCACGCCGCAGCAGUGGAAGUCUCGCAGCAGCUACAGCUGCCACGUCACGCACGAGGGGAAAACCGUGGAGAAGACAGUGACCCCUUCAGGAUGUUCUUAGGCCCCCAACCCUCACCCUACCCGUGGGGCCUGCAGCUGCAGAAUCCCAGGGGAGGGGUCUCUCCUCCAUCCCAUCAUCCAGCCUUUCUCCCUGCACCCAGUAAACCCUUAAUAAAUGUUCUCACUAUCAACCAGAAA